rnacentral:lncRNA from 1 species
CUAUAAUUGGCACCAUCUGAUACAGCAGUCACUAGCCACAUGUGGCUAUUGGACACUUGAAACGUGGCCAGUGCACCUGGAAAACGGAAUUUUUGGCUUUAUUUAAUUUUAAUUAAAAUUUAAAUGGUCACAUGUGGUUCGUGGUUACUGUUUGGGACAGUACAAGUUGAAAGUGCUUUCUGGAAUGUGCUUCUUGCUAGCUGUGUGAUCUUAGGUUCUGGCGUCUGCUGCAUACUGUGUCCAUUCCUGUGCUGCCCGCAGACUAUGAAACCCUCAAUCACCAUGGUGAAUUUCCACUUGGAAGAUCUGUUGUCCUGUCUUCACUGUGAUGUCUUGGCAUCACUCGAGGUACUGUCAUCAUAGGAAAACACCUGGAUUUGGAUUCAAAGACAAAGCUGUUUAUAAAACCAGUUGUGCA